UUCACGCGCCGACCUCAGAGCAGGUG
rnacentral:rRNA from 1 species